GCGUGCUAAGCGGGGCACUAGGGGUUCCCUGAACCCGAAAACCUCUACAUGCGGGGCCGAACUCCCCGCCUGAGGGCGCCGAGCCCCGGGCAGGCGGCAAAAAGCGCAGUGAUGACGGCCGGGUCCCGUGAGUCGGGGUGGUCGUGAACCGGGUCAGGUCCGGAAGGAAGCAGCCCUAAGCGGGUGUCCCGGCGCCGCGGGGGCGCCUGGUCCGAGCCAGCGGUUUGCCGGCCGACCGGAGGUGUCGAGUCCGAUGGCGGGGUGCACGC
rnacentral:SRP_RNA from 1 species